UACGAAGGGGGCGAGCGUUGUUCGGAGUUACUGGGCGUAAAGGGCGCGUAGGCGGCGAUCCAAGUUAGGCGUGAAAGCCCCGGGCUUAACCUGGGAAUUGCGCUUAAGACUGGACUGCUUGAGUGCGGGAGAGGUGAGUGGAAUUCCCAGUGUAGAGGUGAAAUUCGCAGAUAUUGGGAAGAACACCAGUGGCGAAGGCGGCUCACUGGCCCGCAACUGACGCUGAGGCGCGAAAGCGUGGGGAGCAAACAGG
rnacentral:rRNA from 1 species